rnacentral:rRNA from 2 species
UGGUGGGUAGUUUGACUGGGGCGGUCUCCUCCUAAAGAGUAACGGAGGAGCACGAAGGUUGGCUAAUCCUGGUCGGACAUCAGGAGGUUAGUGCAAUGGCAUAAGCCAGCUUGACUGCGAGCGUGACGGCGCGAGCAGGUGCGAAAGCAGGUCAUAGUGAUCCGGUGGUUCUGAAUGGAAGGGCCAUCGCUCAACGGAUAAAAGGUACUCCGGGGAUAACAGGCUGAUACCGCCCAAGAGUUCAUAUCGACGGCGGUGUUUGGCACCUCGAUGUCGGCUCAUCACAUCCUGGGGCUGAAGUAGGUCCCAAGGGUAUGGCUGUUCGCCAUUUAAAGUGGUACGCGAGCUGGGUUUAGAACGUCGUGAGACAGUUCGGUCCCUAUCUGCCGUGGGCGCUGGAGAACUGAGGGGGGCUGCUCCUAGUACGAGAGGACCGGAGUGGACGCAUCACUGGUGUUCGGGUUGUCAUGCCAAUGGCACUGCCCGGUAGCUAAAUGCGGAAGAGAUAAGUGCUGAAAGCAUCUAAGCACGAAACUUGCCCCGAGAUGAGUUCUCCCUGAGACUUAGAGUCUCCUGAAGGAACGUUGAAGACGACGACGUUGAUAGGCCGGGUGU